rnacentral:rRNA from 1 species
GACGAACGCUGGCGGCGCGCUUAACACAUGCAAGUCGAACGGAAAGGCCUGCUUUCCCUUGUGGAUUGCGGGUACUCGAGUGGCGAACGGGUGAGUAACACGUGAGUGAUCUGCCCCCAACUUGGGUAUAAGCCUGGGAAACUGGGCCUAAUUCCCGAUAGGACUGCAGGGUGGUGCCUGUGGUGGAAAACGAUUUUCUAGUGGUUGGGGAUGAGCUCGCGGCCUAUCAGCUUGUUGGUGGGGUAAUGGCCUACCAAGGCGGCGACGGGUAGCCGGCCUGAGAGGGUGGACGGCCACAUUGGGACUGAGAUACGGCCCAGACUCCUACGGGAGGCAGCAGUGGGGAAUAUUGCACAAUGGGCGGAAGCCUGAUGCAGCGACGCCGCGGGGGGGAUGACGGCCUUCGGGUUGUAAACUCCUUUCGACCGCGAGGAAGCCACCUGGUUGGAAGGGUGGUGACGGUAGUGGUAGAAGAAGCACCGGCUAACUACGUG